CCUACGGGAGGCUGCAGUCGAGAAUCUUCCGCAAUGGGGGAAACCCUGACGGAGCGACGCCGCGUGCAGGAUGAAGGCCCUCGGGUCGUAAACUGCUGUCACACGUUAUGAACAAGCGCGGGCUAAUACCCCGCGCCCUGACAAAGGCGUGAAAGGAAGCCACGGCUAACUUCGUGCCAGCAGCCGCGGUAAGACGAAGGUGGCGAGCGUUGCUCGGAAUCACUGGGCAUAAAGCGCGCGUAGGUGGUCACGCAAGCGAGGGAUGAAAUCCCAUGGCUCACCCAUGGAACGGUUUCUCGAACUGCGUGGCUCGAGGGCGGGAGGGGAGAAUGGAAUUCCCGGUGUAGCGGUGAAAUGCGUAGAUAUCGGGAGGAACGCCGGUGGCGAAAGCGAUUCUCUGGCCCGUUCCUGACACUGAGGCGCGAAAGCUAGGGGAGCAA
rnacentral:rRNA from 1 species